UACGUAGGGAGCAAGCGUUGUCCGGAUUUACUGGGUGUAAAGGGUGCGUAGGCGGCUUUGCAAGUCAGAAGUGGAAUCCAUGGGCUUAACCCAUGAACUGCUUUUGAAACUGCAAGGCUUGAGUGAAGUAGAGGCAGGCGGAAUUCCCGGUGUAGCGGUGAAAUGCGUAGAGAUCGGGAGGAACACCAGUGGCGAAGGCGGCCUGCUGGGCUUUAACUGACGCUGAGGCACGAAAGCAUGGGUAGCAAACAGG
rnacentral:rRNA from 1 species